AUGGAGACGUUGAGCCGUGUUGCGUUUAUAGGUCACUUAAAUCCUGACGCACCUAUAAUCGCAUAUUUUGGCGUUUUUCUUGACAGACGUAUAUGAAUAUGAAACAAAAUCCAAUCGUAAUAUUAGCGAAUUCCGACAGCACGUGAAAGCAGCACUGGUACUGCGUUUGACACUUGUACCCUGAUACAAGCUAAUGCUAGCGUUCAACAUGUCUGAGAAAGAGCUCGGGAAGAAGUGGGACCGUUGCCUGGCAGACAGUGCCAUUAAAUUAGGUGCAGGGAAGGUCCCAGUCCAGCAAAAUAUUGUAGGUAAACAUCACAACAAUGGCCCCAAAUGUGCCAAGGUUCUGUGGAGUAAAUUGUUGGCUUAGUAGCUUCUCCAUCUUCAGCUGGUGUCUGCAAGCUGCAACUCAUAGCCACUUCCUGUAAUUUAUACCACACAACUUCUGUUUUUUUUUCAUUGUGGGCAUGGUUCAAGGUGAUAAUAUAUGUAUUGGUGAAUUUAUUUAAUUUGUAAAUAUUUUAUUAAUCACAUAUUAUUGUAUGCUGAUACAUGUUAUUUAACCAUAAUAACCACAACAACUGUUUUUUACCCUGUAAUCCCCCAUACAAGACACCCGGUCGGCCCCAAACAUUAAAGUGGUUAAUUUGACAGCCUGCUUGUGGUGUGAAAGUUUCUAACAGGUUUCUAACUGAGGCUGACGUGAGGGAAUUCAUCCAGCUAAUUCAUUGCUUUUAAUCCUCAUGUCCACUCUGCUUCAGUAGCACCUGUACAGACCAGAAGAUUAUAGAAACCAAGGAGCCCCAAUGAGUUAUAGCAGCUUCCCUCUAUGUAAUGUAUAAUUGCUGGAACUGGUUUCGAUGGUAAAUAUACUUUUACCACACAUGAUGUGUUAAUUUAUAGGUCUGCACUAAACCGCCUUGCAAGAGUCAUGCAGCCUGGCUUAGUGACACACGAUCUGGUGCUUUUUACAUGUACAUCAACAAGGAGAGGCUACAAGUUGAUUUGAAGAAACCCUUUUCCCAGUAAAAUCAAGGAGAGGACGCUGUUCCUUUAACGCCAAAGCUGGUAGUUUAUUCAGGAAAACGCAAAAGGCAAUGGCUAGUAAUAAAAUAUCAGUAUCAGAAAUCAAAAUCAGAAUACAGUCAAAACCAUUAUUCAGUCUUUCUGAGUGCUUUACUGGUUUUAUAACCUCUAUGUUGCUGGUAGUUUGGGCGUCAGCUUGAAAGCCAUUGAGUUGGAGAUGAUGUGGAUAAUUUGUC